rnacentral:rRNA from 1 species
GGAAUCUUGGGCAAUGGGCGCAAGCCUGACCCAGCCACGCCGCGUGGAGGAAGACACCCCUAUGGGGCGUAAACUCCUUUUAUAUGGGAAGAAGGCCCUCUUCUGGAGGGCUUGACGGUACCAUAUGAAUAAGCACCGGCUAACUCCGUGCCAGCAGCCGCGGUAAUACGGAGGGUGCACGCGUUGUCCGGAUUCACUGGGUGUAAAGGGUGUGUAGGCGGGGCGAUAAGUCAGAGGUGAAAGCCCACGGCUCAACCGUGGAACUGCCUUUGAUACUGUCGCUCUUGAGUCCUGGAGAGGUCGCCGGAAUUCGUGGUGUAGCGGUGAAAUGCGUAGAUAUCACGAGGAACAUCAGAGGCGUAGGCGGGUGACUGGACAGGUACUGACGCUGAGGCACGAAAGCGUGGGGAGCAAAC